rnacentral:rRNA from 1 species
AAUGGGCGGAAGCCUGAUCCAGCCAUGCCGCGUGAGUGAAGAAGGCCUUCGGGUUGUAAAGCUCUUUCGGUGGGGAAGAAAUUGCACGGGCUAAUACCCUGUGUAGAUGACGGUACCCGACUAAGAAGCACCGGCUAACUACGUGCCAGCAGCCGCGGUAAUACGUAGGGUGCGAGCGUUAAUCGGAAUUACUGGGCGUAAAGCGUGCGCAGGCGGUUUGGUCAGUCAGAUGUGAAAGCCCCGGGCUCAACCUGGGAACUGCAUUUGAGACUGCCAGGCUGGAGUGUGGCAGAGGGGGGUGGAAUUCCACGUGUAGCAGUGAAAUGCGUAGAGAUGUGGAGGAACACCGAUGGCGAAGGCAGCCCCCUGGGUCACUACUGACGCUCAUGCACGAAAGCGUGGGGAGCAAA